AGAGUUUGAUCAUGGCUCAGAAUCAACGCUGGCGGCGCGCUUAACACAUGCAAGUCGAACGAGAAAGGGGGGCAACCCCUGAGUAAAGUGGCGCACGGGUGAGUAACACGUGGGUAAUCUGCCUCUGGGUGGGGAAUAACUCUGGGAAACCGGAGCUAAUACCGCAUAAGCCUGAAAGGGGAAAGGCGAAAGUCGCCGAGAGAGGAGCCCGCGGUCGAUUAGCUAGUUGGUGGGGUAAAGGCCUACCAAGGCAGUGAUCGAUAGCCGGCCUGAGAGGGCACACGGCCACACUGGCACUGAAACACGGGCCAGACUCCUACGGGAGGCAGCAGUGGGGAAUCUUGCACAAUGGGGGAAACCCUGAUGCAGCGACGCCGCGUGAGCGAUGAAGCCCUUCGGGGUGUAAAGCUCUUUCGGCAGGGACGAUGAUGACGGUACCUGAAGAAGAAGCUGCGGCUAACUACGUGCCAGCAGCCGCGGUAAUACGUAGGCAGCGAGCGUUGUUCGGAGUUACUGGGCGUAAAGAGUGCGUAGGCGGUGGUCCAAGUCUGGUGUGAAAUCUCCCGGCUCAACCGGGAGGGUGCGCCGGAAACUGGGCUGCUGGAGUGCCGGAGAGGCAGGCGGAAUUCCUGGUGUAGCGGUGAAAUGCGUAGAUAUGAGGAGGAACACCCGUGGUGUAGACGGCCUGCUGGACGGCAAC
rnacentral:rRNA from 1 species